CCUGACCUCGAUUCGAGCG
rnacentral:rRNA from 1 species